rnacentral:rRNA from 1 species
AGUCGAGCGCGAACCCCGCAAGGGGGGAAAGCGGCGAAAGGGACAGUAACACGUAGAUUACCUACCCUCAGGUUCAGGAUAGCUGCGGGAAACUGCAGGUAAUACUGAAUAACGUCUCCGGACCAAAGGUGUGAUUCCGCCGGAGGAUGGGUCUGCGUCCUAUUAGCUUGUUGGUGGGGUAACGGCCUACCAAGGCAAUGAUGGGUAGUGGGUGUGAGAGCACGACCCGCGUCACUGGGACUGAGAUACUGCCCAGACACCUACGGGUGGCUGCAGUCGAGGAUCUUCGGCAAUGGGCGCAAGCCUGACCGAGCGACGCCGCGUGCGGGAUGAAGGCCUUCGGGUUGUAAACCGCUGUCAGAGGGGAUGAAAUACAGGUGGGUUCUCCCAUCUGCUUGACAUAUCCUCAGAGGAAGUACGGGCUAAGUUCGUGCCAGCAGCCGCGGUAAGACGAACCGUACGAACGUUAUUCGGAAUCACUGGGCUUAAAGGGUGCGUAGGCUGCGCAGAAAGUUGGGUGUGAAAUCCCUCGGCUUAACCGAGGAACUGCGCCCAAAACUACUGUGCUCGAGGGAGACAGAGGUGAGCGGAACUUAGGGUGGAGCGGUGAAAUGCGUUGAUAUCCUAAGGAACACCGGUGGCGAAAGCGGCUCACUGGGUCUCUUCUGACGCUGAGGCACGAAAGCUAGGGUAGCGAACGG